GGUUGUGUAGUGUAGUGGUUAUCACUCCAGAUUUUGAUUCUGGUAACCCCGGUUCGAGCCCGGGCACGACCU
rnacentral:tRNA from 1 species